UGCUCAUGCCACGCGCCUGUCAGUUGUGUUGCAUUUGUUGGGUGUGAAGGGUGAUGUGAUGGCCACGCUGCCCACAACAGGCAAAAGGGUGCAGACAGACAGCUGAGGCUCCUCGCUUCCCGCUCCGAAGCUCAGAACCUCCCUUCCCUCCUGGAUCCAACAGGAGCAGCUGCUGCCGCUGCCCAUGCCUCUCCAACUUGUCACCCACGGAUGCCUGGAAAACUGCACAUAAACUAACUGGAUGGAGAUGACUCAGGAAGGGGCCCUGUUGCCCGGGAAAUGGACUUGCCCUGAACCGAGCUUGAAGGAGACCCACUGGCUCAUCAGAAACUCCCCGUUGGACUUUAUUCAAGCAAAAUACAAAGCAGGGUUGUGCUGGGCCAUUGUAUAUUCUUGGGUUUGCUCUAUUAGAAUGGUUAGCAUUAUCUUCACUAAUAUACACUCAUAUAAUAGUAGACAUUUUCACUAGUUAUAGACGAUAGUGUGCUAUUUUCCCUUCUGAAACAGAAAUUCGCAGCAGCACUACUAAGGGACAAUAGAUUUUUAAAACCCGUAGUAUGAUUGUAG